rnacentral:rRNA from 1 species
GACGAACGCUGGCGGCGUGCCUAAUACAUGCAAGUUGAGCGCUGAAGGUUGGUACUUGUACCAACUGGAUGAGCAGCGAACGGGUGAGUAACGCGUGGGGAAUCUGCCUUUGAGCGGGGGACAACAUUUGGAAACGAAUGCUAAUACCGCAUAAAAACUUUAAACACAAGUUUUAAGUUUGAAAGAUGCAAUUGCAUCACUCAAAGAUGAUCCCGCGUUGUAUUAGCUAGUUGGUGAGGUAAAGGCUCACCAAGGCGAUGAUACAUAGCCGACCUGAGAGGGUGAUCGGCCACAUUGGGACUGGGACACGGCCCAAACUCCUACGGGAGGCAGCAGUAGGGAAUCUUCGGCAAUGGAAGAAAGUCUGACCGAGCAACGCCGCGUGAGUGAAGAAGGUUUUCGGAUCGUAAAACUCUGUUGGUAGAGAAGAACGUUGGUGAGAGUGGAAAGCUCAUCAAGUGACGGUAACUACACAGAAAGGGACGGCUAACUACGUG